rnacentral:rRNA from 1 species
UACGUAGGUGGCAAGCGUUGUCCGGAAUUAUUGGGCGUAAAGCGCGCGCAGGCGGUUCUUUAAGUCUGAUGUGAAAGCCCACGGCUCAACCGUGGAGGGUCAUUGGAAACUGGAGAACUUGAGUACAGAAGAGGAAAGUGGAAUUCCACGUGUAGCGGUGAAAUGCGUAGAGAUGUGGAGGAACACCAGUGGCGAAGGCGACUUUCUGGUCUGUAACUGACGCUGAGGCGCGAAAGCGUGGGGAGCGAACAGG